CUCGGCCACAGGACACAGAGCACUAAGAAGACAGAGAACCGCCAGUUUGGAUAAUAUCUCAAGGCUUAAUAGGGAAGGAAGGUGGCAUUGAAAAAAAAAAUGUCCACAGCAUUACAGCAGCAAUCCUGUGUGGCAUUUUUGGCUCACUCAAGAGUGUGGGUAAAUCCUGAGAAUUGGAGCCAAAAAUAAAGCUCAUGAACCUGAAAUUACCAUGAAAUUCUGAUUUUAAGAAGUCCUACUAUGAAAUAGUGAUAUAUUUCUUCAACAAAAUGCCUGUGAUUCACUGACUGGGAUAAAGGUGCAUUUCCAAAAUACAACUAUGUUCAAUUUCUUAAUUAAAUGAUUUAAGAAUAAAACUCUUGAACCAUUUUCCAGAGGAUAAGCUCUCGUUUUCCCAGUCCACUGGGAAGAGGUGAAAAAGGCACGUUAGAAACUGAAAGAUUCACAGUCUGGUGAGACAAGUUUGAGAUCUCAUAUUUUCAGCUCAUCCUUGAAAACCUUUCUUCGAUUUGACUGACCUUGAUGGCUCCCUGGAAUCUCACCUACAUUUUAUGGGAAAUUCAACUCUCCAGAGAGAAGAGCUUUCAGAUAGCUGCGGGACUUGCAACUGUGACUUUCAGCUUUCGCUUUUGAAUGAGGCUCCAAAUGUCUCAAUGGUGGCACUAUUUCCAGAUUUGGGG
rnacentral:lncRNA from 1 species